UACAGAGACUGCAAGCGUUAUUCGGAUUCACUGGGCGUAAAGGGCGCGUAGGCGGCCUUCUAAGUCGAACGUGAAAUCCCUGGGCUCAACCCAGGAACUGCGUCCGAUACUGGAAGGCUUGAAUCCGGGAGAGGGAUGCGGAAUUCCAGGUGUAGCGGUGAAAUGCGUAGAUAUCUGGAGGAACACCGGUGGCGAAGGCGGCAUCCUGGACCGGUAUUGACGCUGAGGCGCGAAAGCCAGGGGAGCAAACGGG
rnacentral:rRNA from 1 species